rnacentral:rRNA from 1 species
UACGGAGGGGGCGAGCGUUGUUCGGAAUCAUUGGGCGUAAAGGGCGCGUAGGCGGCCUUGUAAGUCAGAUGUGAAAGCCCUCGGCUUAACCAAGGAAUUGCAUCUGAAACUGCGAGGCUUGAGUCCGGGAAGGGAGAGUGGAAUUCCCAGUGUAGCGGUGAAAUGCGUAGAUAUUGGGAGGAACACCGGUGGCGAAGGCGGCUCUCUGGACCGGUACUGACGCUGAUGCGCGAAAGCUAGGGGAGCAAAC